UCUCUAGGCGGCAGACAGUCUUACCGCCAUGGAGAUCCUCACUCCUUUGGGCUUGGGCUUUGUUUUGUCAGGAGACGCCGGCCCGGCCGGACUCUUCCAGCCGGGGGAGAGAAGGCAUCACAGCACAAGAUUAACACAAGGUUCACAUGAAGCGGACAGUUUCUAACCCUGUGUGAGCAUGGCAGCCAGACUUCUGCAGGGAAGAAGUCUCUGUGAUGUAAGCACAGCUUUACUGAAAGGCUGUAAUUACUGCACCACAGAUGAAGACGAGGGGACGAGGUCUUUACGAGAUUCUACCGCAGCUCUUUUUAAUGUUUUACGUGCAAGCCAGGUUAAAUAAGGAUGAACUCCCAUUACAAAUGAAGGCCAAAGAGGAGGAUAAAACUAAAACCCACACGUUUGAGUCAUCAAACUACUAGCGAGCCUUUUUUUCUGUUCCGCUUUGGAAAAACUCAGUUCAAUUUAUAAUUAAGCUCAUAAAAAUUUAAACUUUUUUUAAUUUUGUCUCUUUGUUUCAGUAUUUAAUUUAGGAAGCUAAACAUAUUAUGGUAGUAGUGGCUGUUCUACAUUUACACAAUGAAAUGUUUUUAUUUUGAACCAAAUAUUAACCAGAGAAUAAUCAUUCUAAUUUGUUUUAUUAUUAGUAUUAUUAAGCAUGAGCUUGCGCCUGUAUGUUGUUGAAACAAACUAAUAAUGUUAUUAAUGAUAAAUGAAAGGAAAAUCUAAAUGUUUCUGAUGGCAAAAAUUGAAUAAAAAUAUUAUUUUGGUUGUAAAAGUUUAAAAUGAUUAAAGACUCGUUUACUGAUGCACGACCUUCACAAAAUAAACACCGCACUCCUGUUGCAGUGUCUUCCUCUCAAUUUCACUUUCCAACCUCUAGUUCAGUAGAUCUUAAUAGUCAGACGGGGAAAAGAAAUCCCACGUUAAGAAAUACAUUUUUCAAAGCAUUUUUGGUGGCACAGUUACUGUCAACUCCAACAGUUCAUCAAAAAUUAAUGUCAUAUUAGUGAUUUUGCCAUUUUUACUUUAGUUUUAUAGGCUGAUCAGGGCUUGUAUAACUUCCAGUAAUUACGUCGUGACUUUCGGUGUCCCUGGAAUAAAUUUAUGAACAUGAAGCACAGGGCCAUUUUUCUUAGCUGUUGUCCACUCGAGUGGAUAAGGACCCAAGGUGAUCUUGCCUCCAUGGAACGAGGAGGCUGGUGAGUGAGGUAAAAAAAAAAAAAA